GUUAAAAUACAUUCAUAACACUCACACAUUCCAUCUAUCUAAUAUCUGCUACAUUGUCUAUAAUAAUAUCUGCUACAUUGUGUAUGUGCUGUGAGAUGUUAUGUGCAGCAUGUGUGUCUUACCAAACCUAAUCUAAUGUGAUGUCAUUAUCUUCUAUUUUUAAAGGAAUUGGUUCCUCCACUCAAUUGAUAUGUAAAUGUGAUUUACUUUCCCAAGUCCCAAAGUGUUGUCU